rnacentral:rRNA from 1 species
AUACGGAGGAUCCGAGCGUUAUCCGGAUUUAUUGGGUUUAAAGGGUGCGCAGGCGGCCAUUUAAGUCAGCGGUUAAAUCGUGGGGCUCAACCCCAUUCUGCCGUUGAUACUGGGUGGCUUGAUUGCGGUCGAGGUUGGCGGAAUUCGUUGUGUAGCGGUGAAAUGCAUAGAUAUGACGAAGAACACCGAUUGCGUAGGCAGCUGACCAGAUCGCAAAAGACGCUCAUGCACGAAAGUGCGGGGAUCGAACAGGAUUAGAUACCCUGGUAGUCCGCACAGUAAACGAUGAAUACUUGUUUUCGGCGAUAUAAUGUCGGAGGCAAAGCGAAAGCGAUAAGUAUUCCACCUGGGGAGUACGCCGGCAACGGUGAAACUUAAAGGAAUUGACGGGG